rnacentral:rRNA from 1 species
GUCCGUCGAUGCGCGCAGCCUGAUCGGCCGUUCCGCGUGAGUGAAGAAGGCCUUCGGGUUGUAAAGCUCUUUCGCAAGGGAAGAAAACUUACAUUCUAAUAAAGUGUGAGGCUGACGGUACCUUGAUAAGAAGCACCGGCUAACUACGUGCCAGCAGCCGCGGUAAUACGUAGGGUGCGAGCGUUAAUCGGAAUUACUGGGCGUAAAGCGUGCGCAGGCGGUUUUGUAAGUCAGAUGUGAAAUCCCCGAGCUCAACUUGGGAACUGCGUUUGAAACUACAAGACUAGAAUAUGUCAGAGGGGGGUAGAAUUCCACGUGUAGCAGUGAAAUGCGUAGAGAUGUGGAGGAAUACCAAUGGCGAAGGCAGCCCCCUGGGAUAAUAUUGACGCUCAUGCACGAAAGCGUGGGGAGCAAACAGGAUUAGAUACCCUGGUAGUCCACGCCCUAAACGAUGUCUACUAGUUGUUGGUGGAGUAAAAUCCAUGAGUAACGCAGCUAACGCGUGAAGUAGACCGCCUGGGGAGUACGGUCGCAAGAUUAAAACUCAAAUGAAUUGACGG